rnacentral:rRNA from 1 species
UGGGGAAUAUUGCACAAUGGGGGAAACCCUGAUGCAGCGACGCCGCGUGAACGAAGAAGGUAUUCGUAUCGUAAAGUUCUGUCCUAUGGGAAGAUAAUGACAGUACCAUAGAAGAAAGCUCCGGCUAAAUACGUGCCAGCAGCCGCGGUAAUACGUAUGGAGCGAGCGUUGUCCGGAAUUAUUGGGCGUAAAGGGUACGCAGGCGGUUUAAUAAGUCGAAUGUUAAAGAUCGGGGCUCAACCCCGCAAAGCAUUGGAAACUGAUAACGUUGAGUAGUGGAGAGGAAAGUGGAAUUCCUAGUGUAGUGGUGAAAUACGUAGAUAUUAGGAGGAAUACCAGUAGCGAAGGCGACUUUCUGGACACAAACUGACGCUGAGGUACGAAAGCGUGGGGAGCAAACAGG